AAGUCGUAACAAGGUCUCCGUAGGUGAACCUGCGGAGGGAUCAUUACCGAGUUAGGGCCUCCGGGUCCGACCUCCAACCCUUUGUGAACACAUCCCGUUGCUUCGGGGGCGACCCUGCCGGGCGCCCCCGGAGGACCACCAAACACUGCAUCUAUGCGUCGGAGUUUACGAGUAAAUCGAAACAAAACUUUCAACAACGGAUCUCUUGGUUCUG
rnacentral:misc_RNA from 1 species